CUUCGCCUGGCUUGAGAGUUUAUGCUGCUUUUAUCCUUCCUUGGAUGUCUGAGACACUAUAUUUUCGUCUUACAAGUAUUACAUUUUGUAACUUUUGAUUUUUAAUCUACCAUUUUGAUGUCAAAUUUGAAAUUUUUAGUGUUAUCUGUGGCUAAAGAUUAUAGCUUUUUGGAAACAUUAUGAUUUUUGUUUUAUAAAUCAGGGGAUUUGGGACUAGAAUGUCUGCCCCUUGAGCAAAUGUAAAGUUGCUUUAGGGAUGAACAAGUCCCUGAUAAUUGAACUCCAUUCUUCACUUUGUCAGCAUUGUUUUAUUUUAUGCUUUGCUGAUCAUUAUCAGAUGGUACACUUUUAUAUUUGGAUUAAUUUGGUAAGUUGCUUUGUUUUAUUACUUUAUCUUUUUGCCUAUGAUGAUACCUUUUAAGGCUUGUUUCUCAAAACAUUCGCAGUGGCCGCCUAAGUGCUUUCGCCUACGCCAUGCUUGAGAGUGCAUGCUGCUUUUAUCCUUCCUUGGAUGUCUGAGGCUUUUUCAGUACUAUGUUCCAUUUUUUCCCUUUUUCUCUUUGUGCCUACUAUUUAUAAAUUAUGUUAAAGAUACUGUCUAUUAUUCCUCUUAUUAAUAAGAUACAGUUUGAGGAGCUUAGGGUCGUAGGGGCAUUUUGGUAAAACUGUAAAUAUUUUGGCCUAAGCCAUGUGCUAACACUUGCAACUGAUGAGCACUCGCUCUACUACCGUUUUGCUUCGUCUCUCUAGCUCUUCCCUCUCCAGGUGAGCCAGAUGCAAUUCUCAAGGUUCCCAGUAAACUGGAUAUCACUAUUUUGCAUAACUGGACAUGCAUGGCAAUAUCCAACUUCAAAAUUUGAUGGAAGUGGACUUUCAUCAAACUAUUAUUUCCUCUGGUCUAUGUGAAGUUGUGCAUGUAUGAUGUGCUUACUGUGUUAAAAUUGACUCUUUAGUGAUUGGAAGCAUGAAGCAUAGACCCCUACUCACUUGCUACUCUUCAAUCAAGAUUUAAGGCAAACAGAACAUGUAUCUGCUUUUAGCUUGUCCAAUAAACUUAGUUGAAAACUCUAUGCCUUAAUGUGUAAAUGUUAAAUGCGGAGAGUUAAAAAACAUGUAUUGAAGAUGUAGUUAAAAACUUUAUGCCUAACCAUUUAAAUGUUAAAUGCAGAGAGUUAAAAGAGA